GCCACGUGUUUCAUGUAAAUAUCCCGAGUGUAAAACAGCAUGGAAAAAGUUUCAACCGAGCCUUGGCAGUUCAAGUCGAAUAAGAACAAUGCGAACCUUCCUUACCAGUGAACUGGCAGCACAACCUUCGACUGCGGUGGCCACUCUCACAUCUCCAUGUGCCUCAUGCUGCGGUGGGGGGCAUGAAAAAGGGGCCAUGCUUUUGAGGAUGCAGCAGUAUGCGUGAGACGGGUUCAGCGGAGUUGCAAAAGAUGCGUGACCUGAUGCAAUCCUCAUGACCACGGCAGUAAUGGAGACGGAGAACCUGCACAAGUUUCCGCGUCUCCGAGGAAAGAGCUGACUCCCUCUCCCGCCUCCUUUUAAUUGGUCCAAGGAGGCCUGUUUGUGCAGAUUGAGAGGGGGCCUUACAAGGGAACCACAUGAUGCCUCACCCACGUCCGCAUUGUUGUUGCGAUGUCUCAAGUCUCGGCGCUGAUGCGCUUGUUUCUGAAAAUAACCGCAGUGUGGAAAAAUAAAAAUUGUCAGUUGAAAGGAGUGUGGAAUAUG